rnacentral:rRNA from 1 species
AAACUAACCAGGAUUCCCCUAGUAACGGCGAGUGAAGCGGGAAGAGCUCAAGCUUAAAAUCUCUAUGCAAGUUUUGCAUGGCGAAUUGUAGUCUAUAGAGGCGCUGUCAGUGCAGCUAUUUGGGAUAAGUUCCUUGGAAGAGGACAGCAUCGAGGGUGAUACUCCCGUUUGUGCCUGAGUAGCUUGUGCGUACGACACGUUUUCUUUGAGUCGCGUUGUUUGGGACUGCAGCGCAAAGUAGGUGGUAAAUUCCAUCUAAAGCUAAAUAUUGGUGCGAGACCGAUAGCGAACAAGUACCGUGAGGGAAAGAUGAAAAGAACUUUGAAAAGAGAGUUAAAGAGUACCUGAAACUGCUGAAAGGGAAGCGAAUCGUAUCCAGUGUCUAUAAUCUGUAGCAUAUUUCAUUGGCGAGUAGGUGCGUGCAGUAUGUAAGAAGUGGUUUUCUGCUCUUUGUGCUGUUCUGCGUUUGCUUGUUGGUGCCCUGUGUUGCGGUGGGACGUCAGAGUCAGUUCGUAUGCUGUGAGAAAUGGCUACUGAGGAGGUAGGUUAGGAGCUUGCUCUUGGCUGUUAUAUCUUGGUAGUUAGUUGUCGUGGUUGGGACUGAGGUGCCUACAAUGUGCUUUAAAGUGUUUGGGACUCUCGUUUGGUUACCUGUUUGGAUAGCUUGCUAUGCUGACGGAGUGAUUGGUCGAUUGAGAUCUAGAGUAACUUUUGCCGUUCGGGACUUUGACGAAAUGGAGCGAUUCGGC